CUAGUUUUUCCAUAGGAAGACAACAAAUGUUAAACUGAUUUUUGUAUCCAGGCGGUUCGUCCUAGGUGCUUGCUCCACGACCGCCACGGAUUGGCCCGGUAUUGCAGUACCGCCGGGAUCGGCCCACUUUAU
rnacentral:snRNA from 2 species